UUGAUGUUUUGUUCAAACCAUCACUAUGCAUCAUAACCAACUCAAAUGACAAUAGUUUAGUUUUUAAAGGAAUAAGACGUGGGAAUGUGUAUGUUGUAGACCUUGAGGAUCUUGCCAAACAUAACCCAUGUUUAGUUGUUAAUGAAACUAAGGAUAAUGAUGCUAGUUGGUUAUGGCACCGUAAGUUAGGUCAUGCAAGCAUGGACA
rnacentral:lncRNA from 1 species